rnacentral:tRNA from 1 species
CGCGGGUUGGUGUAAUAGUAACAUCUUUGACUCAUGAUCAAAGGAAGGAGGUGCAAUUCCUUUGCCCGCAU